rnacentral:tRNA from 1 species
GCAGAAGUGGUGGAAUUGGUAGACACGCUAUCUUGAGGGGGUAGUGAGCAUAGCUCGUGGGGGUUCGAGUCCCCCCUUCUGCACCA